rnacentral:rRNA from 1 species
ACGUAGGGUGCGAGCGUUAAUCGGAAUUACUGGGCGUAAAGCGUGCGCAGGCGGUUUUCUAAGACCGCUGUGAAAUCCCCCGGCUCAACCUGGGAACUGCCUUUGUGACUGCAUGGCUAGAGUACGGUAGAGGGGGAUGGAAUUCCGCGUGUAGCAGUGAAAUGCGUAGAUAUGCGGAGGAACACCGAUGGCGAAGGCAAUCCCCUGGACCUGUACUGACGCUCAUGCACGAAAGCGUGGGGAGCAAACAG